rnacentral:rRNA from 1 species
AUUGAACGCUAGCGGGAUGCCUUACACAUGCAAGUCGAACGGCAGCACGGACUUCGGUCUGGUGGCGAGUGGCGAACGGGUGAGUAAUGUAUCGGAACGUGCCUAGUAGCGGGGGAUAACUACGCGAAAGCGUAGCUAAUACCGCAUACGCCCUACGGGGAAGCAGGGGAUCGCAAGACCUUGCACUAUUAGAGCGGCCG